rnacentral:lncRNA from 1 species
CUUAUGUUCUGUAAGUAAGUGAAACCAUAUGGUAAGUUCUUUAUAGAUUUUGAAUACUAGUCCUUUAUCUGAUAUGUCAUUUGCAAAUACCUUCUCUCAUUCUGUCGGUUGUCUUUUGGUUUUGUUGAUUGUUUCCUUUGCUGUGCAAAAGCUUUUUAUCUUGAUGAAGUCCCAAUAGUUCAUUUUUGCCCUUGCUUCCCUUGCCUUUGGCGAUGUUUCUAAGAAGUUGAUGCGACUGAGGUCUAAGAGUUUGCUGCCUGUGUUCUCCUCAAGGAUUUUGAUGGAUACCUGUUUCACAUCCAGGUCUUUCAUCCAUUUCAGAGUUUUAUUUCUGGCUGUGAUUACUGGAGACCUGAAGGUGUUGAAGAUGAUUUAGUGAAGAAUAUGGGCCCAGGAAUCAAAUACACCCAGGCUGGCCAACUGGCUUUGUCACCUACUGACCAUCAACCACUACCUUCCCAGAAAAUGAGUAUGUUAAUGUUAACUGCACCCUGCCUUUCGUCCAUUGGCACCAGCAGAGAGGAUUAUAGGAGGAAUGAGAAGAGGCCUCACUUGAACAAGGAAGGACUGUCUCUCACCAGGCAUAGAUUUAGCUGACCUGGGAAGCAUAUUGUCUUUACAACAAUGGAGGCAGGAGAGAACUUCAGUUGGGGUCACAUAGAAUAAAGGAUACCUGCUGCCAUCCUGGGUUGCCCUUGGGUACUAAGGGUCAGAGAAACCACCAUAAAACCAAGCCAGAGAAGAGUUGACACAUGGGCCCACACACACAGCUUAAGACAAUGGUCUGUUGGUGUUGAACUUGUCCUAUAUCCAGUGUUUGAGAGUCAGUAAAAAUCAUGAUGUCACUGCCAUUCUGGUAGCCCAGUCUCACACAAUUCUAUGAAAGAAUUUAUGAACCAAGCAGCAUGAGCAUUCCACUUGCCAGGAUGUCCUCUGGGAACCAGGGUCCACCCAGGACCUGAAGAAACCUUUUGGUGUAUGGAUAGGGUAGAUGGUAGAAGAGCAUGAAGGGGGGGAUGAAAGAAGACGAGGACCCACAUGGAUCCUGGUCUGGGCUAGGGUGCUUUCCAGGGGGUUCUGCUGACCCUGGCUGGUCCCUGGCUGAAGGAGGCCUUAGGAAAUUUCAAAGAAGACACCUCUGGACCAGAACACAUACAAAAUCAGAUCUGAACUCGGUUCUCACCAUUUAGCUCUAAGUCCCGGGCCGAGGAGGGAACAUAGAACCUCAAGGAAUUGCACUUCUAAAGGGCAGGGGUCUCACUUGCUUACAAGUGUGAAAGGUGAUAUUUUUCAAUUUAUGCAUUUAUGGAAAUGGCUUUUUCCACCCUAAUCCUUGAUUUUUAGUUGUAUGGAAUUCAAGG